rnacentral:rRNA from 1 species
GUCUAAGGCCCUGCUACCCUGAACGAGCCCCAUCCCAUCUGAUUUCGGAAGCUAAGCAGGGUCAGGCCUGGUUAGUACUUGGAUGGGAGACCACCUAGGAAGACCAGGUGCUGUAGGCG